GGGCCCGCACAAGCAGUGGAUUAUGUGGUUUAAUUCGAAGCAACGCGAAGAACCUUACCAGGUCUUGACAUCCAACUAACGAAGCAGAGAUGCAUCAGGUGCCCUUCGGGGAAAGUUGAGACAGGUGGUGCAUGGUUGUCGUCAGCUCGUGUCGUGAGAUGUUGGGUUAAGUCCCGCAACGAGCGCAACCCCUGCCAUUAGUUGCUACAUUCAGUUGAGCACUCUAAUGGGACCGCUACCGACAAGGUGGAGGAAGGUGGGGACGACGUCAAAUCAUCAUGCCCCUUACGACCUGGGCCACACACGUAAUACAAUGGCCGUUAACAGCGAGAAGCAAACCCGCGAGGGGGAGCAAAACUAUAAAAACGGUCUCAGUUCGGAUCGCAGGCUGCAACCGCUGCGUGAAGUUGGAAUUGCUAGUAAUCGCGGAUCAGCAUGCCG
rnacentral:rRNA from 1 species